GAUAAACGCUGGCGGCGUGCCUAAUACAUGCAAGUCGAGCGAACGGACGAGAAGCUUGCUUCUCUGAUGUUAGCGGCGGACGGGUGAGUAACACGUGGAUAACCUACCUAUAAGACUGGGAUAACUUCGGGAAACCGGAGCUAAUACCGGAUAAUAUUUUGAACCGCAUGGUUCAAAAGUGAAAGACGGUCUUGCUGUCACUUAUAGAUGGAUCCGCGCUGCAUUAGCUAGUUGGUAAGGUAACGGCUUACCAAGGCAACGAUGCAUAGCCGACCUGAGAGGGUGAUCGGCCACACUGGAACUGAGACACGGUCCAGACUCCUACGGGAGGCAGCAGUAGGGAAUCUUCCGCAAUGGGCGAAAGCCUGACGGAGCAACGCCGCGUGAGUGAUGAAGGUCUUCGGAUCGUAAAACUCUGUUAUUAGGGAAGAACAUAUGUGUAAGUAACUGUGCACAUCUUGACGGUACCUAAUCAGAAAGCCACGGCUAACUACGUGCCAGCAGCCGCGGUAAUACGUAGGUGGCAAGCGUUAUCCGGAAUUAUUGGGCGUAAAGCGCGCGUAGGCGGUUUUUUAAGUCUGAUGUGAAAGCCCACGGCUCAACCGUGGAGGGUCAUUGGAAACUGGAAAACUUGAGUGCAGAAGAGGAAAGUGGAAUUCCAUGUGUAGCGGUGAAAUGCGCAGAGAUAUGGAGGGACACCAGUGGCGAAGGCGACUUUCUGGUCUGUAACUGACGCUGAUGUGCGAAAGCGUGGGGAUCAAACAGGAUUAGAUACCCUGGUAGUCCACGCCGUAAACGAUGAGUGCUAAGUGUUAGGGGGUUUCCGCCCCUUAGUGCUGCAGCUAACGCAUUAAGCACUCCGCCUGGGGAGUACGACCGCAAGGUUGAAACUCAAAGGAAUUGACGGGGACCCGCACAAGCGGUGGAGCAUGUGGUUUAAUUCGAAGCAACGCGAAGAACCUUACCAAAUCUUGACAUCCUUUGACAACUCUAGAGAUAGAGCCUUCCCCUUCGGGGGACAAAGUGACAGGUGGUGCAUGGUUGUCGUCAGCUCGUGUCGUGAGAUGUUGGGUUAAGUCCCGCAACGAGCGCAACCCUUAAGCUUAGUUGCCAUCAUUAAGUUGGGCACUCUAAGUUGACUGCCGGUGACAAACCGGAGGAAGGUGGGGAUGACGUCAAAUCAUCAUGCCCCUUAUGAUUUGGGCUACACACGUGCUACAAUGGACAAUACAAAGGGCAGCGAAACCGCGAGGUCAAGCAAAUCCCAUAAAGUUGUUCUCAGUUCGGAUUGUAGUCUGCAACUCGACUACAUGAAGCUGGAAUCGCUAGUAAUCGUAGAUCAGCAUGCUACGGUGAAUACGUUCCCGGGUCU
rnacentral:rRNA from 1 species